rnacentral:rRNA from 1 species
CGCGGCCUAUCAGCUUGUUGGCGGGGUAACGGCCCACCAAGGCAUCGACGGGUAGCUGGUCUGAGAGGACGAUCAGCCACACUGGGACUGAGACACGGCCCAGACUCCUACGGGAGGCAGCAGUGGGGAAUAUUGCGCAAUGGGCGAAAGCCUGACGCAGCAACGCCGCGUGGGGGAUGAAGGCCUUCGGGUUGUAAACCCCUUUCAGCAGGGACGAAAAUGACGGUACCUGCAGAAGAAGCCCCGGCCAACUACGUGCCAGCAGCCGCGAUAACACGUAGGGGGCGAGCGUUGUCCGGAUUUAUUGGGCGUAAAGAGCUCGUAGGCAGUUGCGUAAGUCGGAUGUGAAAACUCAGGGCUCAACCCGGAGACGCCAUCCGAUACUGCGCUGACUAGAGUCCGGUAGGGGAGCAUGGAAUUCCUGGUGUAGCGGUGAAAUGCGCAGAUAUCAGGAGGAACACCAGUAGCGAAGGCGGUGCUCUGGGCCGGUACUGACGCUGAGGAGCGAAAGCGUGGGUAGCGAACAGGAUUAGAUACCCUGGUAGUCCACGCCGUAAACGUUGGGCACUAGGUGUGGGGCCUACUUAACGGGUUCCGUGCCGUAGCUAACGCAUUAAGUGCCCCGCCUGGGGAGUACGG